UCUCCGAAUAAUUUUGGGGAGAUUUCAAU
rnacentral:piRNA from 1 species